ACCAGAGUUCCAAAAAUGUAACACAAAACAGUAAAGGGCCCUGGACUCAAACUCCCUCUGUGCAAGUCCUGGCUGUGUUUCUUGCUACCGGCGUAAUGGUAGUGCUAUUUAAGCAGCAGUGCAUGUCUCCUCACAUUUGAAAAUAUUGAUUGGGUCUUGAAGACAGAAUAACAAGCGCCAGAACUCAAGCAUUUUGCCAGGAGUGGUGCUGCCUCAUCAGUACUUCAGAUCCAGGCAGGGAAACUGUCAGCAGAACUGCUCCAAAGUCUGCUUUGUGAAAUGCACAUAAGCGGUCUCCCAGACCCACUUUCCAUCCUUCUCCUUUCUGAGGAGGAGGUGGUUAGAAAAAAAAGAAGAAGACAACAAAAGAGUAGAUGAGAGAGAUGUGGCAAAAGAAGAGGCAGAAGAGAAGAGGCAAGAGAAGGAUUCUCCCACCCAUUGCUGUCUUUAGAGAUGCAGGCUAUGAGCCAAAAAGCACAGAUAGCUCCGGAAGCUGAGGACAAGCCACACUGCCCACACUCCCGCAACUGCCCAGAACUGAAUUUUGCCAAUUACCUGCAUAAAUCAGAAAAUGGAUGCUCACUAGAGUCUCCAGAAGGGAGCCUGGCUUGCUGACACCUAGAUUUUUGUCUUGUGAGACUGAUCAGAGGAAUUAUCCCAGCACACUUGACUUCUGAAAUUGUGAUAUAUCUAUGCCUGCAGAAACCCAUGACAUGCAGAAACUAUGAGUUAAUAAAUGAAUGUUGUUUUAAG
rnacentral:lncRNA from 1 species